UGGAGUAGACUAAGAGACAUCACUCUUUAAAUCAGUGACAUUUUGAACUGGAGAAUGGACCUGACAAAUCAAACAAACUGGGUCAACUGGACUGACCAAAGUCCAACGCAAAACCUUACAGAGGGAAAUUACCACUCUUUUACUUCUGAGACUGGAUAUGAAAAUGUCAUUCCCCUCAUAGACGAACCUAUUUAUGAGGUUCUACCACACGAGGUGAUACUACUAAGUCUCUGCUACGGUAGUAUAUCAGUAGCCGCUGUCUUCGGUAAUGGGCUGGUGAUCUGGGUCAUCGCCACUAGUCG